rnacentral:rRNA from 1 species
UACAGAGGGUGCGAGCGUUAAUCGGAAUUACUGGGCGUAAAGCGUGCGUAGACGGUUAUGUAAGUCGGGUGUGAAAGCCCGGGCUCAACCUGGGAAUUGCAUUCGAGACUGUGUAGCUAGGGUGCGGAAGAGGGAAGCGGAAUUUACGGUGUAGCGGUGAAAUGCGUAGAUAUCGUAAGGAAGACCAGUGGCGAAGGCGGGUCUCUGGACAGUUCCUGACGCUGAGGCACGAAGGUCAGGGGAGCAAACGGG